ensembl:snoRNA Y76G2B.1 ncRNA
AUCGAUUUCUGAUCACAUUCACAAGUCAUGUCGGCUUCCCAUCUAUGACACCCACGAUUCUCAGGGAGGUGUCAUGGGAACUCAGAAUUCCUGAAUUUUGUAGCAUAAAAUAUUCAGGAAUGCUAAAAGUAAAUUGAAUUUUCAUUUUCUUCACAUUUUUUAGUUUUCGAGAUAUU